AUGAUGAUGGCCUAUAGUAAGCCAAAAUGACAGAUGAUCGAUUUUCAUACAAAAUUGUGGACCUUCGCCUCAGUGAUGGUCACCAACGCCUCCACUUCCAUCUAUUUGGUAAAGUAGUCAAUCGCGAUGAGCAAGCAAGAAUUUUUUUUAUGCCACCAUGAUGGAAAAAGGCCCCAGGAUGUCCAUUCCCCACUGGACAAAGGGCCAAGAUGUGGUAAUUGGAGCCAAAGGGGUCGA
rnacentral:lncRNA from 1 species